GACGAACGCUGGCGGCGUGCCUAAUACAUGCAAGUAGAACGCUGAAGGAGGAGCUUGCUCUUCUGGAUGAGUUGCGAACGGGUGAGUAACGCGUAGGUAACCUGCCUGGUAGCGGGGGAUAACUAUUGGAAACGAUAGCUAAUACCGCAUAACAGUAGAUGUUGCAUGACAUUUGCUUAAAAGGUGCAAUUGCAUCACUACCAGAUGGACCUGCGUUGUAUUAGCUAGUUGGUGGGGUAACGGCUCACCAAGGCGACGAUACAUAGCCGACCUGAGAGGGUGGUCGGCCACACUGGGACUGAGACACGGCCCAGACUCCUUCGGGAGGCAGCAGUAGGGAAUCUUCGGCAAGGGACGGAAGUCUGACCGAGCAACGCCGCGUGAGGAAAGAAGGUUUUCGGAUCGUAAAUCUCUGUUGUAAGAGAAGAACGAGUGUGAGAGUGGAAAGUUCACACUGUGACGGUAUCUUACCAGAAAGGGACGGCUAACUACGUG
rnacentral:rRNA from 1 species